GCGAGUGUGUGAGCCACAUGAUGACAUAUAGAUGCCGCAGCCUCCGGGCCGUGAGGACCUCUCAUCUAUCACCCUAGUCUGAUGGCUGCUCGUUAACGAGGACUCUAAUUACCUCACCUGCCCAGGUGUGUAAUAAUAAUAACACUGUCUGUGUGCAGGCGUGGCUCUGAUGACCACGGCGGUGAUCUCCACCCGGGACCACGGCGUGGUCGCUAAGAUCAAGAGGGUCAUCAUGGAGAGAGACGCCUCCCCCGAAAGUGGGGGCUGGGCCCCGAGGCGAGUCAGAAGAAGAUGAUGAUCCAGAAAGGACUGCUCGACAAACACGGGAAAGCCAACGGCAGCACGCCCACCGCCUGGAAGGACGGAUACACGGAUUACAGGUUGAACCUGAAAUAGGAGCUCUACCUCCUGGGCUCUGCAACCAUGGAUGAAAUAAGAAGAUGACUAAAUCACCUGCAGGUGACCAUGAUGGCUGAGCACUAGGCACUGAUCCUGAUGCUGCCGUGACUUCAUGAGGAUGUCUCACUUCAAGGCAUCAAUCUGCCCAUGAGAUCUAAUCCGAUGUCUUUGGGAUCCAGAGGCUCCAUGUUCCUGCUGUGAGAACUUUGAGAAGCUGAACAUCCGGACCGCUCACUAGGAACAUCCAGGACUAUGUCAGGCGUGGCUCUGAUGACCACGGCGGUGAUCUCCACCCGGGACCAUGGCGUGGUCGCUAAGAUCAUGAGGGUCAUCAUGGAGAGAGACGCCUCCCCCGAAAGUGGGGGCUGGGCCCCGAGGCGAGUCAGAAGAAGAUGAUGAUCCAGAAAGGACUGCUCGACAAACACGGGAAAGCCAACGGCAGCACGCCCACCGCCUGGAAGGACGGAUACACGGAUUACAGGUUGAACCUGAAAUAGGAGCUCUACCUCCUGGGCUCUGCAACCAUGGAUGUCUGCACAGAAAGCAGGUCUUUAGUAACAUUGAAGAUGAAAAGGCGAAACAUGAAGAAGUCACAUGCAGGAUCACCUGGUGACGAUGCACGAUGUCCUGGACGCUCAGUGUCAGUUUGACCCCAACAAAGACGAGACGUACAUGAGGAGUCAUCUUCCCCCUGGAGAAGCUGCUGGUGUCCUACAAGAGGCUGGUGUGCUCAGGCGUGGCUCUGAUGACCACGGCGGUGAUCUCCACCCGGGACCAUGGCGUGGUCGCUAAGAUCAAGAGGGUCAUCAUGGAGAGAGACGCCUCCCCCGAAAGUGGGGGCUGGGCCCCGAGGCGAGUCAGAAGAAGAUGAUGAUCCAGAAAGGACUGCUCGACAAACACGGGAAAGCCAACGGCAGCACGCCCACCGCCUGGAAGGACGGAUACACGGAUUACAGGUUGAACCUGAAAUAGGAGCUCUACCUCCUGGGCUCUGCAACCAUGGAUGUCUGCACAGAAAGCAGGUCUUUAGUAACAUUGAAGAUGAAAAGGCGAAACAUGAAGAAGUCACAUGCAGGAUCACCUGGUGACGAUGCACGAUGUCCUGGACGCUCAGUGUCAGUUUGACCCCAACAAAGACGAGAAGUACCUGAGGAGUCAUCUUCCCCCUGGAGAAGCUGCUGGUGUCCUACAAGAGGCUGGUGUGCUCAGGCGUGGCUCUGAUGACCACGGCGGUGAUCUCCACCCGGGACCAUGGCGUGGUCGCUAAGAUCAAGAGGGUCAUCAUGGAGAGAGACGCCUCCCCCGAAAGUGGGGGCUGGGCCCCGAGGCGAGUCAGAAGAAGAUGAUGAUCCAGAAAGGACUGCUCGACAAACACGGGAAAGCCAACGGCAGCACGCCCACCGCCUGGAAGGACGGAUUACAGAACUUUGAGAAGCUGAACAUCCGGACCGCUCACUAGGAACAUCCAGGACUAUGUCAGGUUGAACCCAAAAUAGGAGCUCUACCUCCUGGGCUCUGCAACCAUGGAUGUCUGCACAGAAAGCAGCUGUUGGAUAACACUGAUGCAGAGAGGAAUAAGGAGAUGACUAAAUAGGCUCCAUGUUCCUGCUGUGAGGUGCAGUGCGUUGAAGGCAGCAGGAAGAUGGUGAAGGAGGACGUAGCGACUGGACAAAGUGCUAUAUGAGUACAGUCUGAGUUCUCUGUAAAGGAUUUCUUACAAACUGACCAGUUGAAUGUUUUCUCUCUAAUUGUUGAAAUAAAUAUCUUACACGGAA